CUUGUAGAGAUACAGAGUGUGGAAAGUGUGUUCUUCCAGCCUUGCAAGUUUUAGCUAAUGACCUCAUCUCUUUUCUCCCUGCAGGUGUGAGGUUGAAGCAUUAUCAGUGGAGCUAAUACCAUGAGUAGAAAAAGACGUUGCAGGAUGCUUCAAGCAAGGGAGGAAUCUGAACAGCGGCAAUGUAGACUGGUCCUUGUGCAUUCCACCCUCACGUACAGUAAACAUCAAAUUCUACCAAGAUGGAGAGGGUGUUUUGCUUCAUGUGUGAAGAGAAGAGCACUGUCUGGAGGAAUCCCUUGUCAAUGCCAUCAAGAGAAUGCGAGAGAAGCUUGCCUGACCACGUUGCCUAGCUGUAAUGAAUGAGUGGAUAACAUCUGAUUGUUAAACAGAAUCACAUUUCUAAAUGGAUCUCUGAGAGGUGUGAUGGAGUAGCCAGCAUGGAUUCCCUGCAGUUAAAUGACCAUGCUGUACAGAGCAUAAGUGGCUUUCUGAAAUACGUAUUCAUUCAAGAUGUGGAUUCUGGGUGCUGUUCUCAGACUAUUCUUAUGUUCACAAGACCCACUUGGAGCCCCUAAGCAGAUUCUGCACUAAUCAAAUUUAUGCUUCAAGUCCUGUUUUCUUGGGAAUCUUGUAUCUACCUUCACACUGAACCAAUCCCCACUUUUGAGAUGCACGUGCUGAACCAUGGAUAUGAAAUAUCUGCGAACUGAGGGGAAGAAAAUUAAAUAAAGCCCUUAAAGGAUGUAUCGUAUGACUUUAC
rnacentral:lncRNA from 1 species